rnacentral:rRNA from 1 species
AGAGUUUGAUCCUGGCUCAGAAUCAACGCUGGCGGCGUGCCUAACACAUGCAAGUCGAACGAGAAAGGGUAGCAAUACCUGAGUAAAGUGGCGCACGGGUGAGUAACACGUGACUAACCUACCUUUGAGUGGGGGAUAACUGAGGGAAACCUUAGCUAAUACCGCAUAAUACCCACGGGUCAAAGAAGCAAUUCGCUUAAAGAGGGGGUCGCGGCCGAUUAGUUAGUUGGCGGGGUAAUGGCCCACCAAGACAGUGAUCGGUAUCCGGCCUGAGAGGGCGCACGGACACACUGGAACUGAAACACGGUCCAGACUCCUACGGGAGGCAGCAGUGGGGAAUUUUGCGCAAUGGGGGAAACCCUGACGCAGCAACGCCGCGUGGAGGAUGAAGUACUUCGGUACGUAAACUCCUUUCGAUCGGGACGAUAAUGACGGUACCGGAAGAAGAAGCCCCGGCUAACUUCGUGCCAGCAGCCGCGGUAAUACGAGGGGGGCAAGCGUUGUUCGGAAUUAUUGGGCGUAAAGGGUGCGUAGGCGGUUUGGUAAGUCUGAUGUGAAAUCUAUGGGCUCAACUCAUAGACUGCAUCGGAAACUGCCGGGCUUGAGUAUGGGAGAGGUGAGUGGAAUUUCCGGUGUAGCGGUGAAAUGCGUAGAUAUCGGAAGGAACACCUGUGGCGAAAGCGGCUCACUGGACCAUAACUGACGCUGAUGCACGAAAGCUAGGGGAGCAAACAGGAUUAGAUACCCUAGUAGUCC